GAUGAACGCUAGCGGGAGGCCUAACACAUGCAAGUCGAACGGGAUUGAGAGCUUGCUCUCAUGAGAGUGGCGCACGGGUGAGUAACGCGUAUGCAACCUGCCUUUAACAGAGGGAUAGCCCAUAGAAAUGUGGAUUAAUACCUCAUAGUUCUGAGAGAUCGCAUGAUUUUUCAGAUAAAGCUCCGGCGGUUAAAGAUGGGCAUGCGUGACAUUAGCUAGUUGGUGAGGUAACGGCUCACCAAGGCGACGAUGUCUAGGGGUUCUGAGAGGAUGCUCCCCCACACUGGUACUGAGACACGGACCAGACUCCUACGGGAGGCAGCAGUGAGGAAUAUUGGUCAAUGGGCGCAAGCCUGAGCCAGCCAUCCCGCGUGCAGGAUGACGGCCCUAUGGGUUGUAAACUGCUUUUAUACACCAAGAAAAAUCCGAACGUGUUCGGACCCGACGGUAGUGUAUGAAUAAGCAUCGGCUAACUCCGUGCCAGCCGCCGCCGUAACAC
rnacentral:rRNA from 1 species